rnacentral:rRNA from 1 species
GUCCACGCCGUAAACGAUGAGUGCUAGGUGCUGCGGGUAUUGACCCCUGCGGUGCCGUAGCUAACGCGUUAAGCACUCCGCCUGGGGAGUACGGUCGCAAGACUAAAACUCAAAGGAAUUGACGGGGGCCCGCACAAGCGGUGGAGCAUGUGGUUCAAUUCGACGCAACGCGCAGAACCUUACCUGGGUUAAAUCCACUCGAAUCUGCUAGAGAUAGCGGAGUGCCCUUCUGGGGAGCGAGUGAGAAGGUGCUGCAUGGCUGUCGU